rnacentral:rRNA from 2 species
CCUGAGACGUGAUGCGUAGCCGAUUGAGGCGAAGUAGAGUGAUCCCAUGCUGCCGAGAAAAGCCUCUAGCGAGCUUUCACGCGGCCCGUACCCCAAACCGACACAGGUGGUCAGGUAGAGAAUACCGAGGCGAUCGGGCGAACUGUGGUUAAGGAACUCGGCAAAAUGCCCCCGUAACUUCGGGAGAAGGGGGGCCGUAGCGCUUGAAGCUCUUUACGGGCUAGGGCGAGACGGCCGCAGAGACCAGCGAGAAGCGACUGUUUACUAAAAACACAGGUCCAUGCGAAGUCGCAAGACGAUGUAUAUGGACUGACGCCUGCCCGGUGCUGGAACGUUAAGGGGACCGGUUAGUCCGCAAGGGCGAAGCUGAGAACUUAAGCGCCAGUAAACGGCGGUGGUAACUAUAACCAUCCUAAGGUAGCGAAAUUCCUUGUCGGGUAAGUUCCGACCUGCACGAAUGGCGUAACGACUUCUCGACUGUCUCAACCGCAGGCCCGGCGAAAUUGCAUUACGAGUAAAGAUGCUCGUUACGCGCGGCAGGACGGAAAGACCCCGGGACCUUUACUAUAGCUUGGUAUUGGUGUUCGAUUCGGCUUGUGUAGGAUAGGUGGGAGACUGUGAAGUGGCCACGCCAGUGGUUGCGGAGUCGUCGUUGAAAUACCACUCUGGUCGUAUUGGAUGUCUAACCUCGGUCCGUGAUCCGGAUCAGGGACAGUGCCUGGUGGGUAGUUUAACUGGGGCGGUUGCCUCCCAAAGAGUAACGGAGGCGCUCAAAGGUUCCCUCAGCCUGGUUGGCAAUCAGGUGUUGAGUGCAAGUGCACAAGGGAGCUUGACUGUGAGACUGACGGGUCGAGCAGGGACGAAAGUCGGAACUAGUGAUCCGGCCAUGGCUUGUGGAAGCGUGGUCGCUCAACGGAUAAAAGGUACCCCGGGGAUAACAGGCUGAUCUUGCCCAAGAGUCCAUAUCGACGGCAUGGUUUGGCACCUCGAUGUCGGCUCGUCGCAUCCUGGGGCUGGAGUAGGUCCCAAGGGUUGGGCUGUUCGCCCAUUAAAGCGGUACGCGAGCUGGGUUUAGAACGUCGUGAGACAGUUCGGUCCCUAUCCGCCGCGCGCGUAGGAUACUUGAGGAAGGCUGUCCCUAGUACGAGAGGACCGGGACGGACGGACCGCUGGUGUGCCAGUUGUUCUGCCAAGAGCAUUGCUGGUUGGCUACGUUCGGAAGGGAUAACCGCUGAAGGCAUCUAAGCGGGAAGCUCGUUCCAAGAUGAGGUAUCCCACUCUUCGUGAGUUAAGGCCCCCAGCUAGACCACUGGGUUGAUAGGCCAGAGGUGGAAGACCGGUAACGGUUGGAGCUGACUGGUACUAAUAGGCCGAGGACUUGUUACAAA